GUUGCCUACAUUGAAUUAAUUGGUUUUCUCUAAAGAACGAGUCGGUAUAGCAUCCAAUAAGCGUAGAGUUAGCUUUGCGGCAAAUCUUGGGCGGCUUUUUUUAUAAACUUCUCGUUACUGGUUCUGGUGUUGUAAAAGACUUUUGCAUAUUGAUCGAUUGCUCUGAUAAUCUUGUUUAGACUAAGCAUAGCAGAAUGAGCCUCAAGAAGGAUGAUUCGAAUUCACACGAUCAGACCGCUGCAGUACAGCAUGAUUUGCGAAAGA
rnacentral:misc_RNA from 1 species